UAUAAUAAUAUCAGCAUAUUGAAUUUCUUGUCUCCACAUAUUUUACAGAACGGCAACAAUGUGGGUUCAUGGCAAUGGCAGCUGUUCAUGAAAGGCAACACAUUAUGAGAAAACGCCAACAGGAGACCAGAGAAACCCACGCAGCCACGGGAAGAAAAUUCAAACCCCAUACAGAUAGCUCUAUCCAGAUGCGAUCCCACAACCCUGGAGCUCAGUUACGCUGCCCACUGAGCCUCUGUGAUACCUACCUGAAUAAUAUAAUUGGAAUUUUGUUUUUUUCUUCCCAGUAUAAAAACUGGAAAAAACUGAAGA